rnacentral:rRNA from 2 species
CGCUGGCGGCGUGCAUAACACAUGCAAGUCGAACGAUGAAACUUAGUAGACUUCUUCGGAAAGACACUAAGCGGAUUAGUGGCGAACGGGUGAGUAACGCGUGAGUAACCUGCCUUACACAAGGGGAUAGCCUUUGGAAACGAAGAAUAAUACCCUAUAAAACCAUAAAAGCACAUGCUAGAAUGGUCAAAGUGAUAGCGGUGUAAGAUGGACUUGCGUCUGAUUAGCUAGUUGGUGAGAUAAAAGCUCACCAAGGCAACGAUCAGUAGCCGGCUUGAGAGAGUGUACGGCCACAUUGGGACUGAGACACGGCCCAGACUCCUACGGGAGGCAGCAGUGGGGAAUUUUGCACAAUGGGGGAAACCCUGAUGCAGCGACGCCGCGUGAUUUAGAAGGCCUUCGGGUUGUAAAAAUCUUUUGUAUAGGAAGAAAAUGACAGUACUAUACGAAUAAGGUCCGGCUAAUUACGUGCCAGCAGCCGCGGUAAUACGUAAGGACCGAGCGUUGUCCGGAAUCAUUGGGCGUAAAGGGUACGUAGGCGGCUAGAAAAGUUAGAAGUCAAAGGCUAUAGCUCAACUAUAGUAAGCUUCUAAAACUAUUUAGCUUGAGAAAUGGAAGGGAAAGUGGAAUUCCUAGUGUAGCGGUGGAAUGCGCGGAUAUUAGGAAGAAUACCGGUGGCGAAGGCGACUUUCUGGCCAUUAUCUGA